UACGUAGGAGGCUAGCGUUGUCCGGAUUUACUGGGUGUAAAGGGAGCGCAGGUGGCUGAGUCCGUCGGUGGUUUAAGCUCCAGGCUCAACUUGGAGACGUCUGCCGAUACCACUUGGCUUGAGGGCGGUAGAGGAGCACGGAAUUCCUGGUGUAGUGGUGAAAUGCGUAGAUAUCAGGAGGAACACCCGUGGCGAAAGCGGUGCUCUGGGCCGUCCCUGACACUGAGGCUCGAAAGCGUGGGGAGCGAACCGG
rnacentral:misc_RNA from 1 species